CAAAUAAUGAGUUUAGAUAGGGAUAAGCAAGGAAUAGGUGAAGCCGAAGCAGAAGCAAUUGUCCGACGCAAAAGUGGUAAGAAGAAAAAAUGCAGAUGCGGAUGACGACGGUAACGCCGAGCCAAGCUCCGACGACGAGCAGAUGUUCUGUGACAUCUCGUCCCCAAUUGAGUCACCCAAAUCACUCCUCUCUAUUCUCUCACCGCAGUCGCAGACCUAAAUUCUUCUCCUCCACUGCAGACAACAAUCCUCCUAUCCCCAAGCGACUUCCCUAUCCACUCACCGUCUCUAACUCCUCCGAUGGCGGCCCCGCCACCAAGUCCAGUCCUCCUCCGCCUCCUUCUCUCAGCUCCGGCGGCGACUCCAAGAGCGUCCCUCUUGAGGGGGUUAUUCAAUUUGAAAAACCCAAUUCUUCUUCGCUUUUCAACAAAUGGGGUCGCGUAGCUCUUCUUGCUGGUGGAGAUGUGUUGGCUUUACUUCUCUUCUCUGCAAUUGGAAGGUUCAGUCAUGGGUUCUCUGUUUUCGACACCGAAACCCUUCGCACGGCUGAUCCUUUUAUUGCCGGGUGGUUUUUGAGUGCUUACUUCCUUGGGGGUUACGGGGAGGACGGCCGAGGAAUGAAUGGCUGGUCAAAGGCUGUUAUUGCUGCUGCCAAAUCAUGGUCUUUGGGUAUCCCAGUAGGAUUGAUAAUAAGGGCAACAGCAGUAGGUCGUAUUCCACAACCCAAUUUUAUUUUAGUAACCAUGGGAAGUACUGCUGUAUUACUUAUAGGAUGGAGAGCACUAUUGUUCAGCAUUUUCCUUAAAGAUGACAAAAGCAAGAAAAGUGAUAUAUAUAGGCGUGGCAGCCCGUUUGAAUUCUUUGAGUUGCUCACGUCAUUAGUACGAAGGUGGUGAUUAUAAUCUUUUCCUGUUCCUUGUACCAUGAUGUUAUUCUGUCUCCCACAUUUUUUUUGGCUUUCUAUACCUGAAUACUCCUUGUAUUUAUCAGCAAGAAAUGUAACAGCACAACCGGUCUGACUUCCUAGCACCUAAUUUCCUGAACUCAUCUAGCAAUUUGAGGCCUAUGUGUGAGAUUCUUUGUUGUGAAACAGUGGAGAAAAAUAACACUUUUUUUUGGUCAUCUGUGUGGGGAAAACACGAACAACCCGGCUUGAGCACCUGAAAAGCACAAAAAUGGGACACUUCGGCUGGGUUGGUCAGCCGAGGAGCUAUCCAAUGUCUAAGUCAAUGAAUGCCCAAGAAUUCUCAAUAGAAUAGAGUAGUGUGUAAGUUGUUGAUUGUGUACCUGGCUUAUUGAGCUUGAGUAUAUUCAUAAUCAUGCCAUAAUGACCGUUAGGGUUGGUUGAGAAAUUCCUAGCACCUCCCCCUUACUGCUCCACUAUAUGUGGGUUCAUGUCCCACGUUUGCGAUGCUCCAGGAACAGAUAAGCACAUUUGCACCUGAGAUGGGCUUUCUAUUGACCUGGUCCACCCUGUGCUUGGACCUAGCCACCUGAUCUAUGAUAGAGCUCGACUGUUGCACGGCAUGGUAGAUCGGAAUUUACCUCCCAUCCCACGGUAUCAAAUGCAGUUAGUUAUCAAGUUAGCUUUAGGAAAGUUUGCUGUAAUUGAGAACUGUAACAGAGAAGUGUGUAAUUUUGUUCUGAAUUUGUAGUAUGUAAAGUUACUUAUCCAAA